rnacentral:rRNA from 1 species
GAUGAACGCUGGCGGCGUGCCUAACACAUGCAAGUCGAACGGGGAUAGGAUGAAACCUAGUGAUUCCUAUUCUAGUGGCGGACGGGUGAGUAACGCGUGGAUAACCUGCCUUGUACAGGGGGAUAACACCUGGAAACAGGUGCUAAGACCGCAUAAGCGCACAGUCUCGCAUGGGACAGUGUGAAAAACUCCGGUGGUACAAGAUGGAUCCGCGUCUGAUUAGCCAGUUGGCGGGGUAACGGCCCACCAAAGCGACGAUCAGUAGCCGGCCUGAGAGGGUGAACGGCCACAUUGGGACUGAGACACGGCCCAG